rnacentral:sRNA from 1 species
ACAUUGCUAAAUAUAUUGACUUUUUUCAAACCCAGUUUACUCAGAAGGGUGGCAUAGGUUUAAAUGUUGCCCAAAUGAUAGUUGAAUUGAUUCGGAACAAAAGAAAAAUAGUGGAUA